rnacentral:rRNA from 1 species
UACGUAGGUGGCAAGCGUUGUUCGGAAUUAUUGGGCGUAAAGGGCGCGUAGGCGGUUUUGUAAGUCAGCUGUGAAAGCCCGGGGCUCAACCCCGGAGGGUCGGCUGAUACUGCAGGACUAGAGUACGGAAGAGGUAGCUGGAAUUCCCGGUGUAGCGGUGAAAUGCGUAGAUAUCGUAAGGAAGACCAGUGGCGAAGGCGGGUCUCUGGACAGUUCCUGACGCUGAGGCACGAAGGCCAGGGGAGCAAACGGG